AUGGACGCCAUGCUCUUAGAUUUGAGUGAAGCUCAGCAGCACGUAAUGCAAUGUUUGGCGCGAAACCGGCGCCAAUUGCGCGGCAAACCGAAGGCGCGCACCCGGGCUUUCCAAAACAGCCACGCCCUCCUCCCGCCGCACAGCGCGAGGCAACGCUGCCCGCGGCCCGCUGACCUCCAUCCGUUCGCCAUGGCCAGCGCGCCCACUGCAAGCCAGCACGCGCCGCCUGCGGCUGCCACCGCCGGCUCCUCCUCCACUUCCGUCCCCGUUCCAGUCCGGCCGGUCGGCCCCAACCCACCGGUGGUACCCACCAGCACCGCCGCGCCGGUGGACGGCAGCCGUCUGUCGGAGCAGGACGACGCGGUGGUCCUCCAGUCCCUGCGCGCCCACCUCUGGAGCCACGGCGGCCUCCCCCGCGGCGCCGACCUCGUGGGCAUCUUCUUCGGCCGGCUUAGCAGGACGGACUACAGCCUCGGGGACGUGGAGGCCAGGAUCCGGGCCCUGCGGCGCCGGUUCCGGGAGGCCGACGCCGCGCUCUGCGCCGGCACUGGCUGCCCGCCCCCUGGGCACGGCCUCCGGAUGUACGCGCUCUCGCUCGAGGUCUGGGGCGCCACGCCCGCCGUGGUCGCCCCUCCCCGGCGCGACCCGGUGCCCGACAAGGACGCAGCGUCCACGGCGGCGGGGAGCAAUAUGCCGUUGACGCCGGUGCCGCGCGCUGCCGCUGCCGCUGCCCCUGCCCCUGCUAAGAAGAGGCGCUGCGAGGAGUAUCCCGCGCUGGCGAGGGAGGCGGAGAGGCUGACGAGGGAGGCCCUGGAGCGCAUCGACGACGUGACGGCGUGGUCGUUGGAGAUGAGGGCGAGCAAGAAGGAGCAGCGGCAGCUGCAGAGGAUGAGGAAACAGUACCGACAGCAGCAGCACCGCGCCGGCGGUGUGCCUGUGCCCGGCGAUGGGCGCGCCGAGGACGGGAGCAAGGAGCUGGCUAGCGUGAUCGUGAAGCUUCUUAGAGGCAACCAUGGCCCCUCCUCAGCUGGGAACUAG
rnacentral:rRNA from 1 species